UAUUACUGCGCGUAAGGCUUGCAGAUCUCUCUCUCUCAAAAUAAGGGAGAACAACAGCUUCCCUCCAUGAAAUCUCUCUGGCUUUUCAAUUUCAAAUCGCGAUUGGCCAUCCAAACGCGCCUUCUAACCAUUUCCACCACUUCCGUCUGGCAGCUCUCAAGUUAGGGUUUUCAAUCCCCACCAUAGGGUUUUGAAAUGGACAGAACAGGUAGCAGCAUCGGCAAGCAGUUCUCCCCCCAAGAAUGGGAAACCCUAAUAGACGACUUCCAAUUGGGCGGGCGCCGCCGCGAACGUUGGCUCUCCCAGUCCCCGGGCCCCGCCCUCGUCGAGCUCGCUCUCCUCUCCGUCCUCCGCAAGGACACCUUGCUCCCCCUCAAAUUCCACCUCAUUGUUUUCGUGGAAGAGAACGCCGAUCUCCUCGUCGAAGAUCCGACGGCCGCUACCGACGCCCUCGACCGCGUUCUCGAUGCCGUCCGUACCAUCGUCCAAUCCCCCGUCGACAACCUCUCUGUCACGUACGCCCUCAAAGAGCAGAUGAUGGUCUCCGCCACCUCCGUGAUGAUCUUGAUCGACAGCCUCGAGAAAUCGGUUGUCCAUCUCGAGGGCCUCACGGAGCUUCUCCUAACUGUCAUCAACCGCCCGAACCACGGGGUGGACCGCCAGACCCGGGCCGUUGCCUGCGAAUGCCUACGGGAGCUGGAGAAUACGUAUCCCUGCCUUCUAUCAGAGAUCACUGGCCAUUUAUGGAAUCUAUGCCAGGGUGAGCGGACCCAUGCAUCACAAAGCUACCUGCUUCUCCUCACAUCUGUGAUCCACAAUAUCGUGAGAUCGACGGCUAUGAACUCCUCGAUUCUCACAACCUCAGUCCCCCUUGUUCCAUUCAACGUCCCACAUUUUCUUACUGCUGGUGGGGAAGGAGCAACGAGUAGAGAGCUUUCAAGCUUGAAUAUGAAGGAGCUGAGGAGGGUGACAGCAUUCCUACUUGAGCGCCCACGGAAUCUGACACCCUGGGGGAUGCUAGAGUUUAUGCAGAUGCUGGUGGGGAUUGCGGGCACACUCGAGCUGCAGGCGUCGCUCCUGAAGGUGCACAUCUCUGGCCUGCUUUACUCGUAUGACCCUAUCCUAUGCCAUGUUGUUCUGAUGCUGUAUUCACGUUUGUCAGAUGCGUUUGAUGGCGAAGAGAGUGAGAUUGCUCGGCGCCUGACGCUCUUGUCAAAGGAAGUCCAGCAGCAUCUGGUCUUCCGGUUGCUCGCCCUACAUUGGCUGUUGGGUUUCAGGCCAAUGAAGAAGGGCUCAAUUGUGCCAAUGGCUCCAAGCUUUUACCCAAUGGUGUUUGAUCCACUGGCAUUGAAAGCUGUGAAGUUGGAUUUGCUUGCGUACUGUGCAGUUUGUAUUGAUAGUUCGGGAACUGAAGGUGUUUCUGGGGGAGACGGGGGUGGGGAUGUUACAGUGGUGAAGCUGUUUGAAGAUGGGCUGGUAUGCGUUUCAGCAUUCAAAUGGUUGCCACCAUGGAGCACCGAAACAAUUGUGGCAUUCCGUAUGCUCCAUAAGUUUUUAACUGGCGCUACACCUCAUUCUGGCUCAGAUGAUUCUUCAGUUGGGGUUGGCAUUGAAACCACCAUCUUUCUCACUUUACAGACUAUGUUUGUAAACAUGGCAUUGGAGUUCUGUCGGCUGGUUCCGGUGAUUGUUGCCUUUAUCGACCGUUUGUUGAGCUGUUCUUCCCAUUGUUGGUUGGGUGAGCGCCUGCUCCAUACUUUUGAUGAACGUUUGCUUCCAAAGCUUGCUACAGACUAUUGUUUGGCAUCCUACUUCCCGAUCUUUGACAGGAUUGCUGAAAAUGAAACCAUACCACCCCAUGGUUUGUUAGAGUUACUUACUGCAUUUGUUGUUGUUCUUGUGGAGAAGCAUGGUCCCGACACAUGGUUGAAAUCAUGGUCUCAAGGAAGUAAGGUUUUAGGCAUUUGCCGAACAAUGCUGAUGCACCACCAUAGUUCCAGAGUGUUUCUUCUGCUUUCACGCCUUCUGGCAUUCACCUGUCAGUGCUUUCCCGAUUUGGAGGUUCGGGACAAUGCAAGAAUCUACUUGCGAAUGCUUGUCUGUGUUCCUGGAAAGAAGCUUAGGCACAUAUUGAACCUCGGGGAUCAACUUCCUGGUGUUUCGCCCUCUCCACAUCUGGCCUCUUUCUUCCAGGCUCAGUCUCCUCGUCCUUCUCAGGAUCUUGGGAAAUCUAGGGACAUCUCUUCAUACAUUCAUCUUGAGCGGGUAAAUCCAUUACUUGUCAAACAGUCGUGGUCCUUGGCAAUACCCACUUUGGGCAUUGAAAACAACAAAUCCAACUAUUUUGAGGGCAUCGGAGACAGCGGACCACCUAUAGACAUAGAGAAGGAGGGGGAAGGCAGUUCUGAUGUCCAGAUUCUCUCAGAAACCGACAGAAUCGGUCUGCCUCAGGAGCCAUUGCGUGUGAUGGAUUCAAAGGUUGCUGAGAUUUUAGGGAUACUGCGGAGGCACUUUACUUGUAUCCCCGAUUUCAGACAUGUGCCAGGACUUAAGAUAAAAAUACCCUGUACAUUGAGAUUUGAGUCUGAACCCUUUAAUCGCAUUUGGGGAGUGGACUCAUCUGCCACUCCAAGUUCGGAUGUAGUCGAUGAACUACCUGCCUUGUAUGCAACAGUAAUCAUCUUUUCAUCUUCGGCAGCAUAUGGGUCUAUUCCUUCAUUUCGCAUACCUUUCCUUCUAGGCGAGCCUUCCCGAAAUGAUUAUGAUACAGGCCAAAAAAGUUGCCUUGAUAUUGUACCCAUAGAAAAUGGGUCUGAGCAAGAAGAAGGCUUCAGAGCGCCAGUGAUGAUUGAAUUGGAACCUCGAGAGCCGAUGCCAGGUCUGGUUAGCGUUGCAAUUGAGGCAAAUGCAGAGAAUGGACAAACCAUCAGUGGUCCACUUCAGAGUAUCACCGUAGGUAUUGAAGACAUGUUUCUCAGGGCUAGUAUCCCUUCUGACAUCACAGAAGAUCUGGUCCCCGAGUACUACUCUGACCUGUUCCAUGCUUUGUGGGAAGCAUGCAGUAAUUCUGCCAACACUGGACGUGAGACCUUUCCUUUGAAAGGAGGCAAAGGUGUUGCGGCAAUCAGUGGCACUAGCUCGGUCAAGCUGCUGGAAGUUCCCUUGGACACUCUGAUUAGGUCUGUUGAACGCUAUUUGGCGCCCUUUGUUGUAAGUGUGAUUGGUCAGCCACUUGUGGACAUAGUAAAAGAUGAUGGGGUUAUUGAGGGUGUCGUCUGGAAAGACGAUUCUGUUGAUUGUGCUCGUGAUGAUGCUACUUCAUCACCAUAUUCUAGUGGCAUCCCACUUCAGCUCAAAUACAUUCAGGACGAAGUUGAAGAAGAUGAUGCCGAUAGUAGUUUUGACAUCCGUAAUAGAAACAUGGGCUGUUUUCUCAUUCUAAUAUUCCUCCCUCCUAGGUUCCAUCUCCUUUUUCAGAUGGAAGUAAGUGAUAUUUCAACGUUAGUUCGAAUCAGAACUGAUCAUUGGCCAUGCCUUGCUUAUAUUGAUGAUUAUUUGGAGGCUGCUUUUUUGACAUGAGAAGGGAUUGCUUUGAUGUUGCUGCUUCAGCAUGUUUGUUCAAGUUGCUCAUGCUGCUGACAGCCAUCAUAUCGAGGGCAGUGGUGAGACGGCAAUUACUCAUAGAGAAACAAUGGUUGGUAGGAAUGGCCAUUCUAUUCUAUAACUGGACAGCAUCCAGGAAGCAGAGAUAAAUUAUAGUGGUUCAAAUAUCAAAUAGAAACACUAGAUUAAGCAAAAUAAUGAUGGAUAAGUGAGAGGGCAAUUGGAUGGUCCAACCAUGACUCAAAGGAGGCAACAGUUAUGUGGACGUCAAGGAGAGCUAUACAGGAAGAAAGAUCAGUUUAAAAAAUUGAUGAGAUGCCAAUGCUGUAGCAAGAUGAGACUUUUAAUAACAGUUUUGUUUUUACAUUGGAACCUCCCCUUUCAUAGAGCCUGGGGAACAUGAUGUUUGAUCGAGGACAGCAUCCUAUGCAGCCCCAUGCUCCCAGACCCUCUUCUAUUGCCCUCAACUUUUGGUUAUGAUCGGUCCGUGCGAGUAAAGGCAGUCUUAGCCAGGGAGGUCUCUUCCUUGGGAACUUGAUGAGUCGAUCCACCUACAUGUCUUGCUUUUACUGCUAUCGUGACAACUCUUUAAAUCCUUUGAAGUCUGAUUAGAUAUGUCAUUGAACCAAAGUUCUUCCGUUCUGUCUCUGUUUUCUUUUCGGAUUCCGAGGAUGAGCCCUUUCUUGGUCGGACCAACCCAACCGGCUCUUAAGAGUUGGUUUGAAAUUCUUUUAGUGCAAUCUUUUUGGGCUUGUAGGAAUUGUUUUGAACCAUGGAUGUUCUCCUCGGUUUUAAGGGGUUGUUUGUUUUCUAAUUCACUAUUGUAAAUACCUGGAAAUAGAUAUUAAUUAUUUCCCACCGUAAUUCCAACACCAUUCUCAAGGCA